rfam:Aerococcus urinaehominis strain CCTG42038B, complete genome.
GACUCGUUAGCUCAGUCGGUAGAGCAACUGACUUUUAAUCAGUGGGUCGCAGGUUCGAAUCCUGCACGGGUCA